AUCCAGCUGGUGGACGAGUCCCAAAUAGGACGAAAUGCGCGUUAUCCUGGAU
rfam:Trichobilharzia regenti genome assembly, scaffold: TRE_scaffold0006058